rnacentral:misc_RNA from 1 species
AAGUCGUAACAAGGUUUCCGUAGGUGAACCUGCGGAAGGAUCAUUAUCGAUUCUAUCACACCUUCAAACAACCGUGAACUGUUCUCUGCCUCUUCGUAGUUUGGACCUUUUCUGUUUUUGGGAAAGGACCGAAAUACGAAGUUGUACGUGACUUCCCUUCGUUUCUCUCCCCUCUUCCGAGGGUUGAGUUUCGAACGGGGGGUUUCCAUUUUCAUUCAUUUAAAACCCUUUUCUUUAAAUGUCUGAUUUGUUUUAUUUUUGAAAUGUUUGGACAAAAAAAGAAGAAUCUUUUUUUUUUUGCCAACAUUUUCAUUUAAAAUAAAAAACACAAUACAACUCUUAGCAACGGAUCUCUCGGCUCUC